AACUUUACCAUGCUGGAAACAGCGAUCAGGGGACCUCGAGUGCCAGGUUACAAAUCUGGCUGUCGUGAUGCCUAAAAAGCAUUGCAUAGCAAGGGCCGGGCAAGACCGGUGCCAGCCGCCGCGGUAACACCGGCGGCUCGAGUGGUAACCGUUAUUAUUGGGUCUAAAGGGUCUGUAGCCGGCCGGAUAAGUCUCUUGGGAAAUCCAGCAGCUCAACUGUUGGGCUUUCAGGAGAUACUGUCUGGCUCGAGGCCGGGAGAGGUGAGAGGUACUUCAGGGGUAGGGGUGAAAUCUUGUAAUCCUUGAAGGACCACCAGUGGCGAAGGCGUCUCACCAGAACGGACCUGACGGCAAGGGACGAAAGCUAGGGGCACGAACCGGAUUAGAUACCCGGGUAGUCCUAGCCGUAAACGAUACUCGCUAGGUGUCGGCCACGGUGCGACCGUUGUCGGUGCCGUAGGGAAGCCGUGAAGCGAGCCACCUGGGAAGUACGGCCGCAAGGCUGAAACUUAAAGGAAUUGGCGGGGGAGCAC
rnacentral:rRNA from 1 species